rnacentral:lncRNA from 1 species
UAAAUAAUUUAUAUGUUAUUUCACCAUUGUCAGUUCCAGAAUACACAUGGCAAUGCAAUAGUGUAGUACUACACCUAAAUGUCUUCACAAGAGACCUAAUCGUCAAAUCUGAAAAAAAAAAAAAAAAAAAAAACUAAUAAAAAAGAAGAUCACAAAGUGUCUUUAAAUCUUCCUUGUAUAUAUAUAUAUAUAUAUAUAUAUAUAUAUAAAGUACUACUGCACUGACUUUCACAAUGAUCUCAGUUCAUCCAGGCAAUGCAUGUGCCAAACCCUUGAUAGCAUGUGAUUUGCCCAGUGCACAAAGUAAAUUACUGCAGAAUGUGCCUUUGUACACAUAAAUGCUACAAAUUCUAAUGCUGAUCAGACAAAAUAUUAGUGGACAGAACAUGGUGAUUUGCAACAAAAUAAUAUUACCUCAUGAAAAUUCUACAUACAAUCUGCUUCCCUCCAAUGGUCUGCAAAGAAUGUUCCACAACCAUGCCAAUUUGAAAUCAAAUGUAGCAUCCAUGAAAAACUCCCUGUAAGCAACACUUCUCUUUAAAAAUACACAAGUAGACUACAUCAGGAGUCUUCUAGAUAUGGUAUCUUAUUUUGUUGAUUAUUUCGCUCCUAAAAUUGCAGAAAAAACUCUUCUCAUCUCUGAAACAGGAUCCUUGUCAACACCUGAUUUCACACGCCAAGCAAUGUGCUCAUCUGGCCUCACUAAAAUUGCUGCUUUCUCAGUCAUCUGACACAUACUCCACCAUGAUGAUGGAUUUGACGAUUUCCUAACCUCUACAACAUCUAUAAAUUUUUCCCAAGGUGCCAGUGCUUUCUUACUCCUUACUUCAAAUUCAUCUAGAGAGUCGGCAGGCCACAACACGCAAACUUUAGCAGAAACUUUGAAUUCCUCAGCCACCUUGAAUGCAGCUCGAGCAAGUUUGUAGGACUCUUUGAGAGGAGCUACUAUGAGGAGGAACUCAACUUUGUCCCCACACACAAGAUCAAGUGUAGAAACAGUAACCUAGACAAGCACUUCUACCACCAUUAAUAAACAUACUGCAAAAUGCAACACGUUUCAUACAAACUAGACCUAAUCGACUCACAGACAUGCAAGCUGAAACUUGGCAAACUAAAAUGGCUAUUUCAUAUAAUCCACUUGCUAAUAAAAAUACAGAAGAAAGCUUUUUCUUUAUAUCAACAUGCAGAAGGCCAGAAUGUCAGCAGUUGAUACUAUCAUAUAACUAAGGUGAUCCCUACUUGACAACCAUAUAACAUAUAAUCUGAUGAGAAAAAUGCAUACCUCACUUGAUGAAUUUGAUAGUACACGCACAUCUAUAUGGGGCAGCCUUGACCCCGGAUUUGCAGAAGGAAUAUAGUCCCUCCGACGACCAGUGGGAGGUUCCAGAACUCCCACCAAGCUAUCAUUAUCAGGAACAACUGCUCCUUCGAGGUACCUAAAAUGAGAUGAUAAGCAACACAAUAGCUUAAACACAAAAUUGAGAUUUUAAAGUUUUUGAAAAGGGAGUCACUUGUCAAUCUUUUAUUUGAAAGAACCAUGGAAGUCCCAUGAAAGCAUUAUCAAUAUUUAGAUAAGUAUUAUCAAAUAUCAAAUUAAGUCAAAAUUGUUAAUAAAAUUCAGAGGAUACUAAAAAACAAAAUUGAGAGUAUAACAUCACUGAUGUAAUAAAAAGCUAUACAUGUCUUUAACUCAGUAAACUCUAGAAGCUCUUAAAACAUUUGCAAUAAACUUUUUGAAAGUGAAGUAGACAGAAUUCUUGCCAAGUUGAAACUUGAAAGUAUGCCUAUAGUAUAAUGAAUAAUGAUUGAUAAGCAAUACCUGAAACCAAGAUCCUCAGCAGGAAACUGCAGCUGAAGGCUCUUUCCUUCUUCAAAUAUACGUCUUACUUUGGCAAGCCUUGAAGACCCAAGUGGGUUUUUUUCAUUUAGAAGAGAUUCAGCAAGCUGUGCACGACCAAUUGUGAAAAUCCCUUCCAAAAUUGUCUUUUGUAUACUGGAUGGUAAAAUGGAGCCAACCCCAUCAUUAAUAACUUGAUGCACUGAAAAACCAGAAAAUGUAAAGGAUCUCACUAAUGACCCUUCCUUUUCAUUUUUUGCUAGGAGAAAGAAAAGUGGAGGGACGUAAGAAUGAAAAUAUAUCACUGCCAUCAAGCAGAGAACACAAUAUUCUAUUUUUCCAAACAAUCAUAGAAAGGACUGACCAAAAUUACCAACAAAACAAGAUGAAAAACAAUAGCAACCUUACCUGAAUUUGCAAAAGAUGGAUCAAUACCAAGAGCAGCAGGAACUGCCAUGGCUGCUCUAAAGUUUUGGACGCUAAGUGCUGUAUUAAAAAUUGCAAUCUGAAAGAAGAAAGUGGAGGUCAAGGAUCCAUAUUAUUGAUUAUUAAAAAUAGAUAAAUAAUUAAAACACAUGGAGCGAAGGUGCAAAGAUGAAAGCAAUACCGGUCUACGUUCCAUUUCAUAAGUACGGAUAAUUGAAGAUGGUGCAAUACCCUUCAUGACAGAAGCUAUUUUCCAGGCAAGAUUAUGAGCAUCCUGAAUGCCAGUAUUCAUUCCUACAAUUAAGAAAAAAAAGAAUUCCUAAGUUUGUUAGAAGAUUAUACUGGGUGAAUGUACAGAAAAAUCUAGCUCAUAGCUAGUGACUACUAUUUUCACUUGGAAUGUCAUCAAAAGAUUAUAAACAACUGAUUCGUCCUUCUUAUUGUCAGGAUCAGGAAAGAAGAGAAGGAAAUUUAUGAUGAUGGCUUUCUGAUUGUCUCUCCCUCUACAAUUUUUAAUAUACAAAGUCCUCUAGAGCACAAAUAUGCAGGAGCUGCAGGAACAAAAACAAACUUUUAACUUUUACUAACUACUAACAAUACACAAUUGCAGAACUCACCAAAACCACCAGCUGGAGGAAACCGAUGAGCAGCAUCACCAGCGAGUAUUAUUCGAUUGUCACAGCUCACAAACUUCUCAGCAACUUCAGCAUGCAUCACCCAUGGCUUAAUUUCAAUGACAUCAAUGUCUGAAAGUUCUUGACCAACCAAUUUGAAAAUUAACUUCUCGCAUAUCUACAAGAAGUUGAGCCCUUCAAAAAAACAAUGACUUACAUGGAGAAGAUUCCGUCCUUACAUGCUAAACCUUAUGAUUACACAUUACUUUCAAACAUCUUUAGCAUAUAAAGCACCACGUAGCUAUGACUUCCGUAUUGUCAACCUAAAUUCAGUACUUUUUUCCUUCAUACUUAAUCACACCAGAAAACUAUUGAGAAGGUCAAUGAGAUUAUUUCAAACUCAGAAAACCUAUUAUGGUAAAAGAAAAAUACCUCUAGGCUAAAAUCAUCCACAUUCUGCUGAGGAGGAUAAAAGGGAACCUAUGAGAUGUAAGCAAUGAAGCAAUAACAUACUGUUAGUGCUCAGCACAUAUUAAAUCAUUACAAGAUAAACAUAUAUGUAUUUUAAAUAUCUAUAAAGCUGUAUACCUGCAAUACAAAUUCUCCUUGCUCAAGAUCAUGUGCAACAAGGACCCCAAUGGCUUCAGUGUUAAAAACAAAGAACAGCAUUCCAGGUCUCUUGUUGAGCAAGUAUUGUCCAAGGCCUCUGCUAAAAAAGUGGAUGCUAACAAGCUUUUGCAGGUCUUUUUCACCUCUUAGCUCUAUCCCUGCAAGCUUCCGUAUGGUGCUUCCAGCACCAUCUGUACCAACAAGAAUAUGGCAAUUGAUAUUUCUCUCCAUGUACUUCCCUUCCACACUAUGAGAAGCAGUUGCAGUAAUAAACUCAUCAGCAGCACUGAUUGAUAUACACUCAUGCCCCAUCAAUAAUUCUCUUCCCUUUAGAGGGCAACUAUCAAAGCCUUCCUGGCUUCCAGGUCCACAAACAUGGAAGUUGAGAUCUUCUAGCUUCUUAACCAAUAACCUACUUAAUUUAUACUGUGAAAAGUGUGCAACAGAUUCUGGGCUGAUGACUUUUUCAAAAUCUGGUCAUUUACAGCAAUGAAUAUAUGUUCACUUAACCAUGAAAGCCAUGAAAAGAAAAUUCAGAGUCUCAAAAUUUUACUGCUAUGACUUGGGAAAGUCAAACAUUAGCAGAUAUCACAAAUAUUCAGUGAUCAAUGACUAUGCCUUGUGAUCUAGAUUAUUCAGUCCUAUGACUAUGAAUCUAAGAUCGAGCUGCCUUCUACAUGGCAAUAUUGUAUCUUCAAAAAAUAAUCAAACCUUGAGGUUGCAUGUGGUCAACUGACCCAAGAAUUGGACCAGUUAGUGAAGUACAAUAUAUGAACUUCCUCCAUAAUUCUACUGGUGGUUGUGAGAUCUGGAUCUCCUCUGCAAGGCCAUCCAACUUGCGAAAUACCUACCAAUUAGAAUGUCACAAUGAAUCCUGAAUUCUUUAAAAAAACUUAGUGCAUUGUGUUAAUCCAUUAUAAAAACAACCAACCUCCAUAGACCGGUUGUUAAUAAAGUGUGCUUGGGGAUGGUUGGAAAAUGUCUUGCUCUUUUCCAAAAUGGCACAUUUGACCCCUGUUGCAUCAAGUAUGUUAAACUUUUCAAUAAUAAUUCCAAUUGUAACGGGAAGUGCUAAUGCACCAUGCAUAAAAAUUCAAAAAAACAAAUGUUUAAUAUCAUAAAAAGGGAUGAGGGAAUAAUAGAAAGCAAAGCAACAAAAAUUUAUCUUUGGAAGCAAACUAGACAGGCACCAGUUUAUCAUUGUUUUCCUUGUAAACUUAGUUUAGCAAUUCGUAAAUCUAUAAACAAGCAAAUUUCUUCUCAGAAAACAUCAAAUACGUUCGCUAAAACUGUAUACAACUCAUCACAAAUGACGCUCUAUAACUUCAAAUUCACGGGUUUUACUAUUCUGUGAGCGCUAAAGCUUUAAGUUAACAACAAGCUACCAUUCUAGAGCUCUCUCCCAAGGCUUUUAUCGGCAAACAUAGUGAGUAUCAAUAAAUUAGAAACAGGAAAUAAAGAAAAGAACAUAGAAAUUUGUUAAUAAGUACCUAAUUUGGUGAGAAAUAUAGAGAGAACGAGACCCACAGGUCCUGCACCAAUGAUCAAGACUGGAAGUAUUGAAUCAUCAGCAUUGAGGUCUUGGGAAUGCGAUAGCUCUCUGCUUUGAAUAUGAAAGCCAAAUGGGUAUAGUUUGAUUCUGGGUUUAUUUCCAUAGAAACCAUUUAACCCUUUGAUAAACCCUGAAACACCCAUGAACCCAGAUAAAGAAAAGCCUCGCACAGUUCUUCCGUUGUAUCAAUGAAAAUAAAUAACAAUAAUAAUACGGCCUCGCACAUCACAGGUUAAUCAUGAUUCCUGAAAAUUUAACAAAAAUGAUAGUGGCAGCUGGCUAGCCCACGAGGGAACGCCACUGUACUGCUGUUUUCAGGGGUUGAAAAUUCUCAACUCCAUGGGCUUCUGGUAGCAGCUAGCUGGUCCAUGAGAGAACAUUGGCUAGACUUUCAGUUUCUUUAUGGUUUGAACUCAGGAUUGAUUUUGGACCGGAUUUACGAACUUGGGUCAUUUGCUAAAGUUGCCCAUCCCAUUCCCAAAAAUCAUUUUAAAACUAUUAUUUCUAUUGUCCAAUAAUUUUUGUAUUUUUUAAUUAUUUUAAAAUUAUUAUUUAUUUUUUAUAUUAUAAUAAUAUAUAAAUUAAUUUUUAUAACUUAAUUUUUAAAAAAAAUUUCAAAAUAUUUUUAAUAUUUAAUAAAAUUUUAUAUUUUUAAUAUAAAUAUAAUUAAAAAAUUAAUAAAAAUAUAUAUAUACUUUUUAUAUGCGUGAAAAAAUCAAAUGGAGAAAAAUUAUGAGACGGAAGAAUGAGAGGUUAAUAUAUUUCAAAAAGAAAAAUCAUUUUUAAAAGAUAAAAGUAAUUUUAUUAUGAAAAUAAAAAUAAAAAUCAUUAAUAAAGGAAAUAGUAAAUAUAAUUUUUUUCAUAUUAAAUUGAAUUUUUUUAUCAAUAAAUUCAAUAAUAUUAAAAUUAUUCCUAAAUAAGUUUGAACUUUAAUUAAAAUUUAAUGAAUUUAAAAUAUUUUUUUAUAUAAUUUACAUCUUUAAUAAUUGGUAUAUAUUCAGGAAUAUUAUCAUUGAUAGAAAAAAAAUGUCACGUUGAGUUAUAAAAUGAAAGAUUGAUACAAACUUUUUCUUACAACAUUUCUUUUAAAAUCACACUCCACAAUAUUAAUUAUUUUAAACUAUUGUAAUAAUUGAAUUGUUGUUUUGAUAUCAAUUUGAUGACCGCUGGCUCUUUCUCUCUGGUCUGGGGUUCAGCCCACGAUGCAGCCCAUCAUCCCGAAGCCCUCGAACCUCACGACUCGCACUAAGUCCAGCUCCCCAUCUCCAAGGCCAACUUGAUCCUUCCGACUGGACUAGCCGAUUCUCGUUGGGCUCGACCCGUACCUCAUCCUCUGGCCCAACCCGGAACCAGGAAGUAUAUCCGCAUGUCCCUCGUGUGGAUCCACCCGCAUACGCGUCCUGAAAGAAUCAGAGGCCGUUACGCAUGGGGCAGAGAUCUGAUUCCCUCGUACGUCCGAAUCAACGUAGCGGUCCAAUGAUGUACGUUAUGUUAGCACGUCACUAGCAGACAAAAGAAAACAUAUAAAAUGAGAAAUACUCUCCUCUAGAUUUAAGUUUUUUCCAAUUUUACAGAACCCCUUAUAAAACCCCAUUUUCUGAAUAUCGAAUCAUCACAAUUAAUUAAAAUUUUAAAAAUAAUAAUAUUUUUUUAAAUAACAAUAUUUUAAUUAAAUUAAAACACUGACCAUGAACAUGUCUUUUAAGUGUAACUUUGUGGGUAAUAAAAUGACAAAUUAUGUAUUGAUAAUUUAAAUAAUAAAUUUCCAUCAAAUGGAUUGACAAACAAUUUCCUAAUUAAGCACAUGAUACCACUGAUCUCUAAAUUACUAACCUAAUACUAAAUGCCACAAGGCACAUGAUCAUUAUAAUCAAAUUGUGUAGAUUAAUGUUUUAAAUGAUUUCCACAAUUGAGACAAAAUCAUUCAUCCUUUCAUUUGUCACAAAAACAUGAAAAUGUCCCCACAAGUGCCAAAGAUCUAUACCAUGGACCACCAUUUGUUGUAGGUCCCAAGACAUAUCGACCCCCUUCGCUAAAUGGACAGUGGUCCCCACACCAAGUGAUCCAUGAUUGAUGAUCAUGUUAAUCUGUUUGUGGGCCAUCAUAGCUAAGCUACUUAGAUCACAUUGUAUCCAGCAAAUGGUCAAAAUGGGUACCCCACAAAUUUUCACUAAACCGUCCAUUCAUUUCAUCAACCCAAAGAUAGUACCGUACACUACACUACACACUACACACUCCAUCACCCUCACGUGAAAGAGUCAGAAACCUUACAAUUUCUAUACUACCAACUGACACCCUUCUCAAAUCCUCACCUUCCACGUGUCACCCAUCAGAUGUCUACCCUCCCUUAAGUUACCGUUAAAGGGCAACCGUAUUUUAAAAAUUAACUCUCCUUGUCGUGAGAGAGUGAGGGCGAGUCUCACCCAGCACUUGAUUCCCUUUGUGGGUUAAAAAAUAUAUAUAGAAAAGAAGAAAAUAUCUGUAAUUUGUAAAGUGAAAAACUUUACAGUAUACACAAGUUUCCAUGUGAAUUUUUUACUGGAAUACAUGUUGCUGCAGGUUUUAUGUUUAUUUUUAGUAUUUUAUUGCACAAUGGAUCUGAACUUCAUCAUCUAUGGUUUCUCCUAGUCUCCUAAAUUCAUGGUUUUAAUGUAUUUUUCCUCUGCAUUUUGAGUUUUUCCUGCAAAACCUUUCUCUGCCUUUUUACUCUUCUUGUUCUUUUGGAACCAACAAAUUUUUUUCUUUCUGUUCUAAUCUUUCUGAUGGCUCUAGGCCAAUCAUGAAGCUUUGAUGAUGGGUUCUUCUUUAAUUUAAUGCACGCUCACAUGCUUUCAGCCUUUUGGGUUAGGCAUUAUUGGGUUUUCAUUGCCUCCCUUCUCUCUCUCUCUCUCUCUCUCUCUCUCUAUCUUUUAAUAUGUGGACUGUGAGUUGAAGCUAGGUAAUUAGUUAUGUAUGCAAAUGGGUCCUCCAUCCCUACUUCCAGCUACUGUGUGUGGUAAGUUUCAGAUAUUAUGAGAGUUCCUGUUAGGCACCACUGGCCUUUUUUCCUUUUUUGACAUGAUAAGUUUUGCAAAUGUGCUUUUAAUUACUUGGGAAAACUAGAUUUUACAUUUUUUUUCUGUACAUAGAGAGAUGGGGAGAUAUUUAAUGUGCCCCUUUGUAUUGGAUCAUGAAUGCACUGGAGAAGAAUUAAGUAGCAAGACAAGCUUUGAAUAGGUUCUAACCCAAUGCACGCUAGCUGUUUGAUACCAGUUCUCAUAUAAACAUAUACAUAUAUAUAUAUAGGAGCAAGUGAUUUCUGGGGAGUGAUCUUGGUCCAUUUUCUUCGCCUCUAGAUCUUCUGUAGUACACUGUUUUAGAUCUCAAGGUAGUUGUAUAGGUUUGGAUUUCAAGAAAUAUAGGAUCUGGACCAUUUUGCUUGACUUGGGAUCUGCUCUUAUUCACGGCUAUGAAUUAGACUCGCUUUUUCCAUCAUAGAAAGCUAAGUGUUUUAGUGGUCGCACAUAGUUCUGUGAGCAAGCAAUUAAGAAAGAUUUUGGUUAGAGAAUGAGAUCCAUAGAGGAUAAAGGGUGCUUCAACCAUGGACCAAUUCAAGAAAUUUCAACCAGCAACGGGAUAAGUUUUGAGUUUCAUAAAGGCAAUGGAGCUAACCGCACUUCUCAUCAUAGGACAGCCUUAGGCAAACCAGCACCAUCGAAAUGGGAUGAUGCACAAAAAUGGCUAGUUGGGUUGUCAAGGGGAGGAGAUAAAAACCAAUCCAAGCCAAGAAACUCCAAUGCUGACGAUAGGAGAUUGAUAACUCCAGUUCCACAGCAGGAACAAGACUAUCCAAGUGAUGAAGAUGAAGUUGAAGGACAAGAAACAAAUGGGUUCCCAGAUUCCGCGGCAAAUCCUUAUGAAGUGGAAACUAAGAAGGUGGAUUGUGAUGAGUCCAUUUGGAGAAUAAACAAGCCAGCGCAGAAUUCCAAUUCAUCUGCUCCUAGAUCAAUAUGUGUUAGAGAUAUGGGGACUGAGAUGACCCCAAUUGCCAGCCAAGAGCCUUCAAGAACCGCAACACCUAUUAGAGCUGGAACUCCAGUGGCAAGAAGUCCCAUAUCUUCCGGAUCCUCCACUCCAGUAAGGCAUCAGCAUGGGCAGCAAGGCACUGAUCAGGGCUAUCCAGGAGCUGAGACUAGUUCUGCUGCCAGAGGGCACCAUGGAGAAGAACCUAACGGUUCUAAGAUGUCUGAGAACAAGGAAUCACAUGAAGCAAGAAAUCUGAAUCCCUUGGAGACAAGAGCUAUUGCUUGGGACGAGGCAGAGCGUGCCAAAUAUAUGGCAAGGUGAUCUACUAAUACCGUCACGCUUUCUUAAAAUGGAGUUCAUUUUGCAAUUGCAUCUGAGUUGUGUGUCUAUAUGUUAAGAUCGGCUGCUCAUUGUAUAUGCAGGUAUAAGCGUGAAGAGGUGAAGAUACAAGCGUGGGAAAAUCAUGAGAAAAGGAAAGCAGAAAUGGAAAUGAAGAAAAUGGAGGUACUCAUUAUGUCUGGAUUGAUAAUUGACUAAUGAUAUACUCUUGUUUAGUUUUGAUCCAUUAGUUGCUUUUUGUCAAAUGCUUUAUUUUCAAUGUCACGAAAUGUAGGGACCAGAAAUAUUGCAAUGCCUCUCAUAAUAAUGCUUAAAAGGCCUACAUGUCUCCACCAUUGUUGACAAUUUCUUGAACAUCUUCAUUCCAUCUUCAAAAGAACUUCAAUAAACUAUUGUGUACUUAUUACUCCAAAAGCAAAUUCAUCAAACCAGUAAUAGAAGAAUUAUGUACAAGCAUUAUUCCAACAGCCAUAUUUGUAAUAAGAAAAUCUGUUCUUAGUCAUACAAAGAUACUUGCAUUUACAUAGAUAAAUCUUCUCUUUUGGCCUUUAAGUCUCACAUAGCUAUGCAACUGAAGCAAAAGAAUGUCUCCCUUGGGCUAACCUAGGCUCACUAAAAGAUCAGUCAGUGUAGUCCAAAAGAAGCUGUUACAGCUUAGAAAUCAAAUGGGCUCACAAGAAGAUUUGUCAUGUUGGCUGAGAAUUCAUACCUUGCAUCUAUAGUUGCUGCAGUUGAUCAAUUAUUGAGAUAGCCAAAUUGUUUGCUGUAUAGUUAGUAUUAGGCCCCAAAGCACUGAUCAGAAGAAGCAAACUUAAUCUGCAGAAGAAAUUUCAGGUGUCUGAUUACUUGUGUAUUCUUCAUAGGUGAAGGCUGAGAGAAUAAAAGCUCGAGCACAAGAAAAGUUGGCAAGCAAACUAGCAGCAACAAAAAGGAUAGCUGAAGAGAAGAGAGCAAAUGCUGAGGCCAAAAUGAAUGAGAAAGCUGUAAGGACUGCUGAAAGAGCAGAUUAUAUAAGGAGGACUGGUCACUUACCCUCUUCCUUUUCCUUCAAGUUGCCUUCGCUUUGCUGGUAGUGAUGCUGCUGCACUAUGUCUCCAUUGUCACCUCUUUUCUUGACAUAUAUUCCUUUGAACUUUUUUGAACUCAUUUCAUAAGUUAAUUAUAAAAAAGCUUUUCUUGCUGUUGCUUUCCUAUGAUAAUUUCUGGACCACCCACAAAAAAAAAAAAAAAAGAAAAACCCACCUUCUUUAGGGGGCUGGGGCUGGACUGAAAAGGUUUCCAAUUCGGCUUCUUGUUUGAUCCUGAUUUCGAUUUUAGUUUGGUUUGAUUUGGUCCGAUUUUAAUAAAAUAAAAUUGACCAAAUCUAUCAAUUUCUAUUUGGUACGCCUACAGUUUCAUGCAAUCUAAAUUUGAAGUGAUUUGAGCAUAAGUACAGAGUUGAGAACCUCAAAUAUUA